rnacentral:rRNA from 1 species
CAGCCGCCGCGGGAAUACGAAGGGUGCAAGCGUUAAUCGGAAUUACUGGGCGUAAAGCGUGCGUAGGCGGUUUGUUAAGUCUGUUGUGAAAUCCCCGGGCUCAACCUGGGAAUGGCAAUGGAUACUGGCAAGCUAGAGUGUGUCAGAGGAUGGUGGAAUUCCCGGUGUAGCGGUGAAAUGCGUAGAGAUCGGGAGGAACAUCAGUGGCGAAGGCGGCCAUCUGGGACAACACUGACGCUGAUGCACGAAAGCGUGGGGAGCAAACAGGAUUAGAUACCCCCGUAGUCCCUGUCUCUUAUAU